CAAGUGUGUUGUUCAAGAUUAUUGACUGUAUUGAUAUUGCACAGAAUGCAUGUGUGGAUGCCUCCCCUGAUAUGUGCAAUAAUCUUGUGAGUUUUUUAAUGGAGAAAGUUGAUAAUAUUAGGGCUUCUAUUAUAGCUCCUGCUAUUGACCCUUCGUCUUUGGUUUCUUGUCCUGCCAUUUUUACUCAGUUUGAAUCUGUGACCUUUUAAUUUUUAGAGGAUGUAGUAGGUUACAUCAAAUCUUCUGGUUCGCUUUAUAAUCCUGUUCCUCCAUGAUUUUUUAAAGAAAUUUUGAUGUGUAUAGGGCAGCCGAUGCUUGCAAUUAUGAAUUCUGGCACGUCUUCUGGGGUGGUUCCAGCACAAUUCAAACAUGCAGUGAGUGGUCCAGCCUUUGCUUAAGAAACCCAGCCUUGAUCGUAAGGUUUUGGCUCAUUAUAGGCCCAAUUCUAAACUGCCUUUUAGUCUAAGGUUUUAGAGAAAAUUGUUAAUUGCCAAUUAAGUUUUUGAAUUUAAAU